rnacentral:lncRNA from 1 species
GAUGAGAAGGAAAGAAGCACAGGAGUGCUGAGAGCAUGAGAAAUUGGAGGAUUUGAGAAAGAGAUCAGAAGAGAGGAUACACAACAGCAAGGAAAAGGAUAGCGAGAAAACUAAGAACAACAAAUGGUGCCCAGGCUGUGGAGGAAGAAGAACCCGCAUCACUGUGGGUGGUUGUAAACUGGUCCAGCCACUGUGGAACUCUGUAUAGAGUUUCUCAACAAAUUAAAAACAGAUCCACAAGAUGACCUGCUAUUCUCCUGCGCACAUACCUGAUAGCCCUUCAUUCAAAACAAGUGAGAAGUGGACCCAGACUAGAUUCACAUCAACCUAUGGAUGGAUAAAUAAAAUGUAGUGCGUCUACACAAUGGCAUUUUAUGGGACUCUGAAUAAAACUGAAAUCAUGGCAUUUGCAGGUAAACAAGUGGAACUGGAGGCUGCCGUGUUAAGCAUGGCAGACACAGAAGGCAAAUACCAUGUUUUCUCUAGAUGUAUGCUCUAGAUUUUGAUUUUUACACAUGUUGAAACUAGGAAAGCGAUCAUGAGAGUGGAAAAAGGAGCUCUUGGGUUGGAGGUGAGAAGAGAAAGGGCAGGAGAAUACACAUGACACAGAAGGAGAAGAGGGGAUCCUGUGGGAGCAAGCAGAGCAGCAGGAGUGGGGGAAGGAAUGGGGGGGGGGCGUCCAGCAGAAUGGGAGCAUGGUAAUUCAUACAUUUCAUUAAGCCCAUCGCUUUGUGUGCUAAUAUUAGAAACAAAUUUAAGAGUUAAAAUUGAUAGUUUUCUCAACUAUGUUUCCAGCUGGGUAACAAUGGCAUGAAUCACCAGAAAGAAAUUAUAAAGCUGGCCUCAUGCUUCUUAGGUUUGAAAUAGAUUUAGGACAUCUAAGGAAAGAUGGUAAAUGGGGCAACCUGUGAGGUAGAAACUGGAACUGUGAUCGAGAAGCUGUUUGCUAUUGGACAAAAAAGAGAGUGUGGUGAUGCCCUGUGGGUACUGCAAAAGAACUGCCA